CAUACUACAAUAAUAUUCAUAAUGCAAUCACACACAAUCACCAUGUGACUACAUUAUGAAAAUUCUUCUAGUGUG
rfam:Homo sapiens chromosome 18, GRCh38 reference primary assembly.